rnacentral:lncRNA from 1 species
CAGAAGUCAGGUCGGAUUAAGCCAUAGUACGGAAAAAACUAUGCUACCUGUGAGCCCCGUCCAAGGACGUUAAAAGAAGUCAGGCCACUACAAGUGCCAUAGCUUGAGUAAACUAUGCAGCCUGUAGCUCCACCUGAGAAGGUGUAAAAAAUCUGGGAGGCCACAAACCAUGGAAGCUGUACGCAUGGCGUAGUGGACUAGCGGUUAGAGGAGACCCCUCCCUUACGAAUCGCAGCAACAAUGGGGGCCCAAGGUGAGAUGAAGCUGUGGUCUC